CUUCUUAUUUUUCUGAUGCGCGG
rnacentral:piRNA from 1 species